ACGGGAGGCAGCAGUGGGGAAUAUUGGACAAUGGGGGAAACCCUGAUCCAGCGACGCCGCGUGAGUGAAGAAGUAUUUCGGUAUGUAAAGCUCUAUCAGCAAGGAAGAAAAUGACGGUACUUGACUAAGAAGCUCCGGCUAAAUACGUGCCAGCAGCCGCGGUAAUACGUAUGGAGCAAGCGUUAUCCGGAUUUACUGGGUGUAAAGGGAGCGUAGACGGUUCUGCAAGUCUGAUGUGAAAGGCAGGGGCUCAACUCCUGGACUGCAUUGGAAACUGUAGAACUAGAGUGCCGGAGAGGUAAGCGGAAUUCCUAGUGUAGCGGUGAAAUGCGUAGAUAUUAGGAGGAACACCAGUGGCGAAGGCGGCUUACUGGACGGUAACUGACGUUGAGGCUCGAAAGCGUGGGGAGCAAACAGGAUUAGAUACCCUGGUA
rnacentral:rRNA from 1 species